UAGGGAAUAUUGCACAAUGGGCGCAAGCCUGAUGCAGCGACGCCGCGUGCGGGAUGGAGGCCUUCGGGUUGUAAACCGCUUUUGUUCAAGGGCAAGGCAGGCUUUCGGGCCUGUUGAGUGGAUUGUUCGAAUAAGCACCGGCUAACUACGUGCC
rnacentral:rRNA from 1 species